rnacentral:rRNA from 1 species
CCUACGGGGUGCUGCAGUGGGGAAUAUUGGACAAUGGGCGAAAGCCUGAUCCAGCCAUGCCGCGUGUGUGAAGAAGGCCUUCGGGUUGUAAAGCACUUUCAGUGGGGAAGAAAGCCUUGGGGCUAAUACCCUCGAGGAAGGACAUCACCCACAGAAGAAGCACCGGCUAACUCCGUGCCAGCAGCCGCGGUAAUACGGAGGGUGCGAGCGUUAAUCGGAAUUACUGGGCGUAAAGCGCGCGUAGGCGGUUUGAUAAGCCGGUUGUGAAAGCCCCGGGCUCAACCUGGGAACGGCAUCCGGAACUGGCAGGCUAGAGUGCAGGAGAGGAAGGUAGAAUUCCAGGUGUAGCGGUGAAAUGCGUAGAGAUAGGGAGGAAUACCAGUGGCGAAGGCGGCCUUCUGGACUGACACUGACGCUGAGGUGCGAAAGCGUGGGUAGCAAACAGGAUUAGAUACCCGAGUAGUC